rnacentral:rRNA from 1 species
CCUACGGGGAGCAUCAGUGAGGAAUAUUGGUCAAUGGACGAGAGUCUGAACCAGCCAAGUAGCGUGAAGGAUGACUGCCCUAUGGGUUGUAAACUUCUUUUAUAUGGGAAUAAAACGUUCCACGUGUGGGAUUUUGUAUGUACCAUAUGAAUAAGGAUCGGCUAACUCCGUGCCAGCAGCCGCGGUAAUACGGAGGAUCCGAGCGUUAUCCGGAUUUAUUGGGUUUAAAGGGAGCGUAGGUGGAUUGUUAAGUCAGUUGUGAAAGUUUGCGGCUCAACCGUAAAAUUGCAGUUGAAACUGGCAGUCUUGAGUACAGUAGAGGUGGGCGGAAUUCGUGGUGUAGCGGUGAAAUGCUUAGAUAUCACGAAGAACUCCGAUUGCGAAGGCAGUUCACUGGACUGCAACUGACACUGAGGCUCGAAAGUGUGGGUAUCAAACAGGAUUAGAUACCCCAGUAGUC